AUAUUAAUAAGCAGGUUUUCUGCAUAACAAUUAGACGACUUAAAAGUUCUCUGUAUUUCAUGUUUUUGAUGUGAUCUGGCAUCUGUAAAUGGUCCUACAGUCCAUGGAAUAAAGUAGGGAGAGUGCCUGUUUGAGCAACAGCCAACUCAGCUGCUACUGAGGGGGAUGCUUGGGGAGUUGGGGCUACAACUGUGUGAUGCAUUGCCUCUCAUGCAUUUCAAUACUCUGUAAAGGACUGGUCUCCUUGGAGCCCGAGCUUCAAAAACAGUCAGAACUGUGCUCUACCUUCCCUUGAAGGAAAUCUGCUCUUUUGCAAUCCUAUGAUCUAUCGCCUGAGUUUGAACAGCAAGUUGGGAGGAGGAGGCUGUAUCAACAUCACUCAGAAAACACUUUCACAGCGUUCGGAGUUCUACAGAAAAUAUCCUGGUCCAGGUGAAAGCCAGUUUAGCUUCCCAAUAAGAUGGAGCGCUUGGUCUCAUUGAAAGAUGGGUGUGGGGUGGUCAGUGCUCACAGGGGAAGAGGCAUUGCCUGAGAUAGGUGUCAGGUGUGCGUGCAGCAGCCAGGCCCUGUGACCAAUUGGACUUUGCAGGACUGGGGCCUUCCUAAGUUUGUUCUGAAGAGGCAAGGCGCAGCCGCACAGGUGAGGCCGAUUGGUAACUCACAGCACCUGGUGGCAAGAGCUGGGAAGGGUUAUAAGGUCAGCAUUUCCCUUCAGCUCUUUGCCACAGAAACACGCUUCCUGCUUUGCUGUGUUUGGCUUCUUGCUUCCUGAUCCUUGAACCUCGGCUUCUUGACUCCUUGCUUCCUGACCCUCGGACUCUUGGUUUCUUGACUCCCGGCUCUCUGACCCUCAGACUCCUGGCUUUUGGACCCCUGUUCCUGCUCCCACCCCGCCAUCUUGCCCCUGGUCCUCAUGUCCCCUGCCGGGACUUCUAUCGCCCGUGAACCGGACCGUGACAAUAGGGACCAAGCUGUUUAGUUUUACCCUGAACAACCUAUCAAGCAGUAUCUUGCCCUGUAGAACUUCUUGCUGUCUGGAUGGAUCUGACUAUCUGGAACCCAAAAUCAUUUCCCCGGACUUUGCUGAUUGGUGCUCUUCUGAUAUCUCAAUUUAGAUUUCAUCAGUCACUUGCAAACUAUUGGCAUAGCUGGGACAAAGCAUAAGAACAUAAAAACUUGUGGGAGUCUCUCUCUCUCUCUCUCUCUCUCUCUCUCUCUCUCUCUCUCUCUCUUUUGUUCCUUUCCUCCCCUUAAGAGCUAGGAAGAAAUAGGUUGCUUACUUGCAAGGUGAAUCUUUAGAAUUCUAGAACUGGAACAUCUGAACUGGACUUAAUUUUUGAUUUAUUUACUUAAGUAUAUUUAGGUUUCUCAUUCCAGUUCCAUUGUUGUUGAAUAGCACCAGAUUCAAUUUUUACUAUCCUCAAAAGAUAAUUGUAUAGCUAUACUUUAACCCCUAGAGAGGUCACAGACAUGAAGUCCCUUAUAAUUUGGCUUCAAGAGAUCUUCAGCGACUGGUUGCAAGAACUUUCAGCAGUGCAACUGAAUCACCCCAAGUGUGGUUUGCACCACAACAGUGGUGUGUGUCCUGGAUAUAGGAGGUGGGGCUACUAUGAUUCAUUUCCCACCAACUACUCCUGAGGAGGAGGAGGAAGGAGAGCAAUUGUAGAAUCCCAUGAAGGUUUUGUUUCUCAGGCUGCUCAGUUGCAGCAGUAUGGGGCUGUUUCCAGUGCUUUAUAUGGCAUAAGUGUGCUGUCAUGUCCUAAAACCUAGGAGACCCGGGGUUCAUAACCAUUCAGCCAUGAAGCUCACUGGAUGCCCUUAGGCCAGUCACUGCUUCUUAGGCUAACUCACCUCACAGGGUUGUUGAGGGGAUUAAACACAGGUGGACAGGACUGUGUGUGCCACCCUGAGCUGCUUGGACC